CCAGAAGUUUUGUGGCUUAAACCACAAUGUCCACGUCAAUAUCAAGACACCAAAGAUUGUGGAUAUUAUGUAUGUCGCUACAUGCAAGAGAUAAUAACAAGGAGACAACAAGUAGUUCCAGAAAAGUACUUUCCCCAAGCUCCCGCUACUUAUCAUCAAGAAAUGAUAGACGAGAUACGAGACACUUUGGUUACAUAUGUUUUUAAGCAAAAAGAAGUCAGUGAUGAUGGUAUGGCUGAUGAUCAUGAAUGAUUAUUGCACAUUUUUAAACAUCGUAUAUAUAUUUUGGGAUACAAGGAUUUUUUCUUAUGGAGGCCAAUGAUUAAAGUUUAGACUUCGGAGAAUUUUAGAUUUUGUUUUAUUUUUAUUUUUUUAUUAGAAAAUGGAUAGUGAUGCUUAGUGAAUUAUUGGCUUAUAAUGUACAUAAUGUACAGUGUGUAAUUAAAUAUAUUUAGUGAAGUAUUAAAUUAUUCAGCCCAAUUUGAUAUUGUUGUGGUUAUUUAAUAUUAAAUACUACAGGUAUACAGGUACAUAUAUAUAGUAGGUUGAAGCAAUUUUAUUUGUUAUCAAUUUGGAUAGCUUCACCCCAACGAACAUAUAGUACA